rnacentral:rRNA from 1 species
GCAAGUCGAGCGCGAACGUUCCUUCGGGAAUUAUUAGAGCGGCGGACGGGUGAGUAACGCGUGGGAAUCUGCCCAGUAGUGGGGGACAACAGUUGGAAACGACUGCUAAUACCGCAUACGCCCUACGGGGGAAAGGAGGGGACUCUUCGGAGCCUUUCGCUAUUGGAUGAGCCCGCGUGAGAUUAGGUAGUUGGUGAGGUAAAAGCUCACCAAGGCGACGAUCUCUAGCUGGUCUGAGAGGAUGAUC